AGCUGCAUUGCUGGGCAAGUUGUCCUUUGGCAGAUGUUGCAGUUCAGCACCCAUGCUUCGGGUUAAUUAGCAGACUACUGCCAAAGGAAAUUUGCCCCGGAAUACAUCU
rfam:Oryza brachyantha chromosome 5, whole genome shotgun sequence.